AAAGAUAAAGCAAAGGACUGGAGUAAUACUUUAUAAAGCAGCUCAAGAUCAAUAUUUUAUAGACUUCAAGAUGACGGUUCCAAAUGAAUACCCAGCCUCUCAUGUUCAGUUGGAAUUUAAAGAGAGCAAUCUGCCAGUCAAUCUGUAUCACAUUAUGAAAGGCCAAACAGUUGAAUUAUUGAGACAAUGCAUAGAACCACCAAUCAGAAGAAACCCACGUGCUGGGCCCUUUGUUCCCAGGCCUUCAUUGCAGUUCAUUACUAAUUAUUUGGUGGUUGAUUGUCUCAGGAGCAU